rnacentral:rRNA from 1 species
GAUGAACGCUAGCGGGAGGCUUAACACAUGCAAGUCGUGGGGCAGCACGGGGUAGCAAUAUCCUGGUGGCGACCGGCGCACGGGUGAGCAACGCGUAUGCAACCUACCCAGUACAGGGGGAUAGCCCGGAGAAAUUCGGAUUAAUACCCCAUAAUGAUAUUAAGAGGCAUCUUUUAAUAUUUAAAGCUACGGCGGUACUGGAUGGGCAUGCGUAAGAUUAGCUAGUUGGUAGGGAAACGGCCUAUCAAGGCUCCGAUCUUUAGGGGUCCUGGCAGGGUGGUCCCCCACACUGGUACUGAGACACGGACCAGACUCCUACGGGAGGCAGCAGUGAGGAAUAUUGGUCAAUGGGCGCAAGCCUGAACCAGCCAUCCCGCGUGAAGGAAGAAUGCGCUAUGCGUUGUAAACUUCUUUUCCGGAGGAAUAAAAUUUUGUACGAGUACAGGACUGAAGGUACUCCGGGAAUAAGCAUCGGCUAACUCCGUGCCAGCCGCCGCAGUAAAAC